UACAGAGGGGGCAAGCGUUGUUCGGAAUUACUGGGCGUAAAGGGCGCGUAGGCGGCCUGUUAAGUCGAAUGUGAAAGCCCCCGGCUCAACUGGGGAAGGUCAUUCGAUACUGUUCGGCUCGAAGAUAGGAGAGGGAAGCGGAAUUUCAGGUGUAGUGGUGAAAUGCGUAGAUAUCUGAAGGAACACCAGUGGCGAAGGCGGCUUUCUGGCCUAUUCUUGACGCUGAGGCGCGAAAGCUAGGGGAGCGAACGGG
rnacentral:rRNA from 1 species